GCCACGUCAAUGAGAAGUCACACUGUCACUGGAGGAAGCCCACGUGCAGCAACGGGGACGAAACACAGCUAAAUAAGUUUCUUGGCAUUCCUCUCAGCAUGAAGCAGAUAGCUGCCUUCUUGAUGUGUCCUCACUACAAUCUUACCUCUGAG